UACCUGGUUGAUCCUGCCAGUAGUCAUAUGCUUGUCUCAAAGAUUAAGCCAUGCAUGUCUAAGUACACACCUUUAUACGGUGAGACUGCGAAAGGCUCAUUAGAUCAGCUAUUGUUUCUUAGAUCAUUGAACAUUACAUGGAUAACUGUGGUAAUUCUAGAGCUAAUACAUGAAACAAAGCCUUGACCUCACGGUUAAGGCCGCAUUUAUUAGAUUAAAACCAACCGAGCUUGCUCGUACGUUUGGUGACUCUGGAUAACUUUGUGCAGAUCGCAGGACCUUGCGUCGGCGACGUAUCUUUCAAAUGUCUGACCUAUCAACUGUCGAUGGUAGGUGAUAUGCCUACCAUGGUGAUAACGGGUAACGGGGAAUCAGGGUUCGGAUUCCGGAGGAGGGAGCCUGAGAAACGGCUACCACAUCUAAGGAAGGCAGCAGGCGCGCAAAUUACCCAAUCCCGACACGGGGAGGUAGUGACGAAAAAUAACGAUGCGGGACUUUUAUGAGGCCCCGUAAUUGGAAUGAGUACACUUUAAAUCCUUAAGCAAGGAUCAAUUGGAGGGCAAGUCUGGUGCCAGCAGCCGCGUAAUUCCAGCUUCAAUAGCGUAUAUUAAAGUUGUUGCAGUUAAAAAGCUCGUAGUUGGAUCUCAGGAGUCGAGUGAACGGUUCGCUUAUCGAGUGUUACCAUUCUCUCUUCCUAUCUAGUCGGAGUCCGUUUUGGUGCUCUUUAUUGAGCGCCUUAUAGCCGACAUGUUUACUUUGAACAAAUUAGAGUGCUUAAAGCAAGCUUGUGCUUGUAUAGUCGUGCAUGGAAUAAUAGAAUAGGACUUUAGUUCUAUUUUGUUGGUUUACGGAUCUAAAGUAAUGAUUAAAAGGGACAGGCGGGGGCAUUCGUAUUGUGGCGGGAGAGGUGAAUNNNNNNNNNNNNNNNNNNNNNNNNNNNNGCGAAACGAUUUGCAAGAAUGUUUCGUUAAUCAAGAACGAAAGUCAGAGGUUCGAACGAUUAGAUACCGUCCUAGUUCUGACCAUAAACGAUACCAACUGGUCAUCCGAGGCCGAUUGCUUGUUCGAUCUCUCGGGCGACCUCCGGGAAACCAAAGUCUAUGGGUUCCGGGGGAAGUAUGGUUGCAAAGCCGAAACUUAAAGGAAUUGGCGGAAGGGCACCACCAGGAGUGGAGCCUGCGCUUAAUUUGACUCAACACGGGAAAUCUCACCCGGUCCGGACACUGUGAGGAUUGACAGAUUGAUAGCUCUUUCUUGAUUCAGUGGGUGGUGGUGCAUGGCCGUUCUUAGUUGGUGGAGCGAUUUGUCUGGUUAAUUCCGAUAACGAACGAGACUCUAGCCUGCUAAAUAGUACACUGGUCAAACAUGCCGGUGCAUACUUCUUAGAGGGACAAGCGGCGCUUAGUCGCACGAAAUUGAGCAAUAACAGGUCUGUGAUGCCCUUAAGAUGUCCGGGGCCGCACGCGCGCUACAAUGACAAGAUCAACUAGUAUUUCCUGACUCGAAAGGGUCGGGUAACCUGGUAAAUUCUUAUCAUGACAGGGAUUGGGCUUUGCAAUUAUCGCCCAUGAACGAGGAAUUCCCAGUAAGCACAAGUCAUAAGCUUGUGCUGAUUACGUCCCUGCCCUUUGUACACACCGCCCGUCGCUACUACUGAUUGAAUGGUUUAGUGAGGUCCUCGGAUUGGCUUCCGGUUAGUGGAAACGCUGAUCGGAUUAUCGAGAAGAAGAUCAAACUUGAUCAUUUAGAAGAAGUAAAAGUCGUAACAAGGUUUCC
rnacentral:rRNA from 1 species